rnacentral:rRNA from 1 species
CCGUGAGGGCUUGAGUUGCGGCUGCUGGCACACGCCCCGUCAAUUUAUUUGAGUUGCGGCUGCUGGCACACGUCCCGUCAAUUUAUUUGAGUUCCCGUCAAUACAUUGAGCCCCGUCAAUUUCUUUGAGUUCCCGUCAAUUUCACUGAGUUCCCGUCAAUUUCUUUGAGUUGCGGCUGCUGGCACAGUUGCUAUGCGGCUGCUGGCACACGUCCCGUCAAUUCCUUUGAGUUGGCUUGUUGCGGCGCUCCCGUCAAUUUAUUUGAGUUCUUGCUGCGGCUGCUGGCACACGCCCCGUCAAUUUAUUUGAGUUGCGGCUGCUGGCACACUGGCUUGUUGCGGCUGCUGA